rnacentral:RNase_P_RNA from 1 species
GAAGCGGGCUGGGACGUCGCCGGUGGGGCGGGCAACCGUCACACGGGAGGAAAGUCCGGGCUUCACAGGGCAGGAUGCCGGGUAACGCCCGGCGGGGGCAACCCCAGGGACAGUGCCACAGAGAGCAGACCACCGGUCCGGGGAGUUUCACUCCCUGCCGGCAAGGGUGAAAGGGUGCGGUAAGAGCGCACCGCGUCCCUGGUAACAGGGAUGGCAGGGUAAACCCCAUCCGAAGCAAGACCAAAUCGGGGACAUACACGGGUAGCCCGCCCGGUCCCAGGGUAGGUCGCUUGAGAUGGCCGGCAACGGUCGUCGUAGAUGAAUGUCGUCCUCUCCGCCACCCUUAGGAAAGGUGGUGGAUGACAGAACCCGGCUUACAGGCCCGCUUCGGCU